rnacentral:lncRNA from 1 species
UUUGUUUGGUUGAGUAAACCCAAUGAACUCAAUCUCUACAUCUUAAAAAAACAAAAAAAUAAUAAAAAAAUUAAAACGCAAAAAAUAAUAGCAACAACAUACAACACAAAUUUUUUAACUUAUACUUAUACCUCAAUCACAUCACGGUUACAUUUCACGGAUAACCUCUCAUACUCCUCAUCAUUCACCUUCUUUCGGUCCACCUAAGCCAACCUCUCUUGCUCCUUUUGG